rnacentral:misc_RNA from 1 species
UUUCCGUAGGUGAACCUGCGGAAGGAUCAUUCAUAAAACGUGUAUUAUGUCUCUUUUUUCAAUCCGUAUCUACUUUGUUUGCAAUGUCAUGGCUUGUUUUUAUACCGAGAUGGUCAGCCCCUAACAUCAACUAUAUCUUAACUCUUUGUCUGAAAUAUAUUAUGCAUAAAACAACGCAGAAUUCAACUUUCAACAACGGAUCUCUUGGCUCUC